rnacentral:rRNA from 1 species
UACAGAGGGGGCAAGCGUUGUUCGGAAUUACUGGGCGUAAAGGGCGCGUAGGCGGCCUGUUAAGUCGAACGUGAAAUCCCCGGGCUCAACCCGGGAACUGCGUCCGAUACUGGCAGGCUUGAAUCCGGGAGAGGGAUGCGGAAUUCCAGGUGUAGCGGUGAAAUGCGUAGAUAUCUGGAGGAACACCGGUGGCGAAGGCGGCAUCCUGGACCGGCAUUGACGCUGAGGCGCGAAAGCCAGGGGAGCAACCGGG